rnacentral:rRNA from 1 species
AAUAACGCUGGCGGCGUGCUUAACACAUGCAAGUCGAACGAUGAAGCCCAGCUUGCUGGGUGGAUUAGUGGCGAACGGGUGAGUAACACGUGAGUAACCUGCCCCUGACUCUGGGAUAAGCCCGGGAAACUGGGUCUAAUACCGGAUAUGACUUUUGACCGCAUGGUUGAGGGUGGAAAGAUUUAUCGGUUGGGGAUGGACUCGCGGCCUAUCAGCUUGUUGGUGAGGUAAUGGCUCACCAAGGCGACGACGGGUAGCCGGCCUGAGAGGGUGACCGGCCACACUGGGACUGAGACACGGCCCAGACUCCUACGGGAGGCAGCAGUGGGGAAUAUUGCACAAUGGGCGCAAGCCUGAUGCAGCGACGCCGCGUGAGGGAUGACGGCCUUCGGGUUGUAAACCUCUUUCAGUAGGGAAGAAGCGAAAGUGACGGUACCU